rnacentral:rRNA from 1 species
GUGGGGAAUCUUCCGCAAUGGGCGAAAGCCUGACGCAGCCAUGCCGCGUGGAUGAUGAAGGUCUUAGGAUUGUAAAAUCCUUUCACCGGUGAAGAUAAUGACUGUAGCCGGAGAAGAAGUCCCGGCUAACUUCGUGCCAGCAGCCGCGGUAAUACGAAGGGGGCUAGCGUUGCUCGGAUUUACUGGGCGGAAAGGGCGCGUAGGCGGACAUUUAAGUCAGGGGUGAAAUCCCGGGGCUCAACCUCGGAACUGCCUUGGAUACUGGGUGUCUUGAGUAUGAGGGAGAUGUGUGGAACUCCGAGUGUAGAGGUGAAAUUCGUAGAUAUUCGGAAGAAAGCCAGUGGCGAAGGCGACACACUGGAUCAUUACUGACGCUGAGGCGCGAAAGCGUGGGGAGCAAACAGGAUUAGAAACCCCGGUAGUCC